GAUUAACGCUGGCGGCGUGCCUAACACAUGCAAGUCGAGCGGCAGCGAGUUUUACACUGAAUUCUGGAAGCUUCUAGUUGAAAGAGAAGAUUUAUUCAAGAAUUUUGUGUAAAAUGUCGGCGAGCGGCGGACGGCUGAGUAACGCGUGGGAACGUACCCCAAAGUGAGGGAUAACGCAUCGAAAGGUGUGCUAAUACCGCAUAUGGUCUUCGGAUUAAAGCCUUCGGGCGCUUUGGGAACGGCCUGCGUAAGAUUAGAUAGUUGGUGGGGUAAUGGCCUACCAAGUCGACGAUCUUUAACUGGGUGGAGAGGAUGAUCAGUCAGACUGGAACUGAGACACGGUCCAGACUCCUACGGGAGGCAGCAGUGAGGAAUCUUCCACAAUGGGCGAAAGCCUGAUGGAGCAACGCCGCGUGCAGGAUGAAGGCCUUCGGGUUGUAAACUGCUUUUAUAAGUGAGGAUUAUGACAGUAACUUAUGAAUAAGGAUCGGCUAACUACGUG
rnacentral:rRNA from 1 species